AUUGAACGCUGGCGGCAGGCCUAACACAUGCAAGUCGAACGGUAACAGGAAGCAGCUUGCUGCUUCGCUGACGAGUGGCGGACGGGUGAGUAAUGUCUGGGAAGCUGCCUGAUGGAGGGGGAUAACUACUGGAAACGGUAGCUAAUACCGCAUAAUGUCGCAAGACCAAAGAGGGGGACCUUCGGGCCCCUUGCCAUCGGAUGUGCCCAGAUGGGAUUAGCUUGUUGGUGGGGUAACGGCUCACCAAGGCGACGAUCCCUAGCUGGUCUGAGAGGAUGACCAGCCACACUGGAACUGAGACACGGUCCAGACUCCUACGGGAGGCAGCAGUGGGGAAUAUUGCACAAUGGGCGCAAGCCUGAUGCAGCCAUGCCGCGUGUAUGAAGAAGGCCUUCGGGUUGUAAAGUACUUUCAGCGGGGAGGAAGGGAGUAAAGUUAAUACCUUUGCUCAUUGACGUUACCCGCAGAAGAAGCACCGGCUAACUCCGUG
rnacentral:rRNA from 1 species